rnacentral:misc_RNA from 1 species
UUUCCGUAGGUGAACCUGCGGAAGGAUCAUUAACGAGUUAGGGUCUUCCAGGCCCGACCUCCCAACCCUAUGUUUAUUGAACCUCUGUUGCUUCGGCGGGCCCGUCUCACGGCCGCCGGGGGAGUCGCCGCGAGGCACCCUCUGGCCAGCGUCCGCCGAUGGCCAACCCCAAAACUCUGAAUGAAUCGUGUCAUGAUGUCUAAGUCUAUGAUUAAAUUAAAGCAAAACUUUCAACAACGGAUCUCUUGGUUCUG